AUUGAACGCUGGCGGCAGGCCUAACACAUGCAAGUCGAGCGGAUGAAGGGAGCUUGCUCCUGGAUUCAGCGGCGGACGGGUGAGUAAUGCCUAGGAAUCUGCCUGGUAGUGGGGGAUAACGUCCGGAAACGGGCGCUAAUACCGCAUACGUCCUGAGGGAGAAAGUGGGGGAUCUUCGGACCUCACGCUAUCAGAUGAGCCUAGGUCGGAUUAGCUAGUUGGUGGGGUAAAGGCCUACCAAGGCGACGAUCCGUAACUGGUCUGAGAGGAUGAUCAGUCGCACUGGAACUGAGACACGGUCCAGACUCCUACGGGAGGCAGCAGUGGGAAUAUUGGACAAUGGGCGAAAGCCUGAUCCAGCCAUGCCGCGUGUGUGAAGAAGGUCUUCGGAUUGUAAAGCACUUUAAGUUGGGAGGAAGGGCAGUAAGUUAAUACCUUGCUGUUUUGACGUUACCAACAGAAUAAGCACCGGCUAACUUCGUG
rnacentral:rRNA from 1 species